rnacentral:rRNA from 1 species
AGUGAACGCUGGCGGUAGGCCUAACACAUGCAAGCCGAACGGCAGCACAGGAGAGCUUGCUCUCUGGGUGGCGAGUGGCGGACGGGUGAGGAAUACAUCGGAAUCUACUCUGUCGUGGGGGAUAACGUAGGGAAACUUACGCUAAUACCGCAUACGACCUACGGGUGAAAGCAGGGGACCGUCGGGCCUUGCGCGAUUGAAUGAGCCGAUGUCGGAUUAGCUAGUUGGCGGGGUAAAGGCCCACCAAGGCGACGAUCCGUAGGUGGUCUGAGAGGAUGAUCAGCCACACUGGAACUGAGACACGGUCCAGACUCCUACGGGAGGCAGCAGUGGGGAAUAUUGGACAAUGGCGCAAGCCUGAUCCAGCCAUACCGCGUGGGUGAAGAAGGCCUUCGGGUUGUAAAGCCCUUUUGUUGGGAAAGAAAUCCAGCUGGCUAAUACCCGGUUGGGAUGACGGUACCCAAAGAAUAAGCACCGGCUAACUUCGUGCCAGCAGCCGCCGUAA